rnacentral:tRNA from 1 species
GCGGCUGUGGCGGAACUGGCAGACGCGCUAGACUCAGGAUCUAGUGGGGAAAAACCCCGUGGGAGUUCAAAUCUCCCCAGCCGCA